CCCCUCUCAGGGUCGCACCUGGAGAGUUUCCAGUACCUCUAUCAGUCUCGACUACAGGAGGGAGAGUCAAGCAGAGGUCUAUCCAUUCCAUUCCUAGCUUGGCCAGUGGCUAGAGAGUGGAAGGCAAUCUGCUACAAGU